UUCAAUACAAUAUUACUUUGAACACACUGGAUUUCAUCCAAUUUCAGAAAUUAAGCAGAGUUGGAACUGGUUACUACUUUGAUGGGAGACCAUUAGGGUCUCCAAGUAGCACUAGAAA
rnacentral:rRNA from 1 species